GAUGAAGAACUUAGCGAAAUGCGAUACUUGGUGUGAAUUGCAGAAUCCCGUGAACCAUCGAGUCUUUGAACGCAAGUUGCGCCCGAAGCCACUAGGCCGAGGGCACGCCUGCCUGGGCGUCACGCGUCGUUGCCCCCCCAUCUACUCCUUCGGGAUUGCGGGGGGGCGGAUGAUGGCCUCCCGUGCGCCUAGCCGCGCGGUUGGCAUAAAUACCAAGUCCUCGGCGACGCACGCCACGACAAUCGGUGGUUGCGAAACCUCGGUUGCCCGUCGUGUGCGUUCGUCGCGCAUCGAGGGCUCGAAAAAAUGCUCGGCUCCGGCUGGGCUUUCAACGCGACCCCAGGUCAGGCGGGGUUACCCGCUGAAUUUAAGCAUAUCAAUAAGCGGAGGA
rnacentral:misc_RNA from 1 species